GGUAAUUCAGAAUGAAUUGGCAAAAGACUCAUACAUCUUAGCUCAAACCACAAAUGAUAAAAUUCGAUACUCCACUAGAAUUUGCAAGUCAGAAGCAGCAAAAAUCAAUUCAGUCCCACUGAAACCAAAUAAUCCGAGUACAUAAAUUGAAAACUGAAAUAAACCAAAAAAAAAAGAAAAAAAAAAGAUUUAAUCCAAAUAGGACAGUGAUUAUCAGCCCAUGUACAUAUGAACCCCAAUAACCAACAAGAAAAUGCAAAUGAGAGCAAAGUAGAUAAUAGAAUGAACCAGUAUGGAUGAUCCACUAGUCUGGAAGUUGCCGAACUCCACGAACCGGUUCCGACCCGGAAUCUGAAUCAAAAGACCCGGAGUCAACAGAAUGAACAGCACCACAGCCACGAAAACUGGACCCCAAUCCGGCAUCUUGUAUAUCUAUAGAAAUAGAACCAAUUUUCUCCAAGGAUUUGGCCUGAACCGGAGUAUAUGAACAACUGCAAAUGUUGUUAUAAAGGUUCAGGCUUUGCAAUGAAGGGAUUGGAAAAAGUGAAGUUUACAUUGACGAUAAUGCGGAUUGACGCUUUGUGGAUUGCUUUAUUACGUAGAUUUUCGUUUUGUGACAGAUUGAUUUGGAUUUUGGAAGCAUGUAAGGAUCUGGUUGCUUCGGAGAUUGGAAUACUGGUGCUUACAUUUUGUGCAUUUCCUCCGUUAUCACGGCAAUUGAUUCUCGGAUUCGUAAAAGAUUCCGCCGCUAAUUGCACGUGCUAGCACUUCAUUUUUCUCGUGUUUGAGUCUCCAUU
rnacentral:lncRNA from 1 species